rnacentral:misc_RNA from 1 species
UUAAGUUCAGCGGGUAUCCCUACCUGAUCCGAGGUCAACUCUGGAGGUGUGUGUCGUUUCACGGCGUGACCGCCGCCGCGCCGCCGGUGCGAGGUUUCUCUGGGAGCUACUGCGCAGGGGAGGACGCGGCGGGGUCGCCACUGCAUUUCGGGGGCGGCGCGCGGGCCGUCCCCCAACGCCGAGCCGGGCUCGAGGGUUGA